CCUACGGGUGGCAGCAGUGGGGAAUAUUGGACAAUGGGGGCAACCCUGAUCCAGCCAUGCCGCGUGUGUGAAGAAGGCCCUCGGGUUGUAAAGCACUUUCAGUGAGGAAGAACGCCUGGUGGUUAAUACCCAUCAGGAAAGACAUCACUCACAGAAGAAGCACCGGCUAACUCCGUGCCAGCAGCCGCGGUAAUACGGAGGGUGCGAGCGUUAAUCGGAAUUACUGGGCGUAAAGCGCGCGUAGGUGGCUUGAUAAGCCGGUUGUGAAAGCCCCGGGCUCAACCUGGGAACGGCAUCCGGAACUGUCAAGCUAGAGUGCAGGAGAGGAAUGUAGAAUUCCCGGUGUAGCGGUGAAAUGCGUAGAGAUCGGGAGGAAUACCAGUGGCGAAGGCGGCCUUCUGGACUGACACUGACACUGAGGUGCGAAAGCGUGGGUAGCAAACAGGAUUAGAUACCCGUGUAGUC
rnacentral:rRNA from 1 species